GACGAACGCUGGCGGCGUGCUUAACACAUGCCAGUCGAACGGGAUCCGGGCUUUCGGGUUUGGUGAGAGUGGCGAACGGGUGAGUAACACGUGAGUAACCUGCCCCCUUCUUUGGGAUAACGUCGGGAAAUCGGCGCUAAGACUGGAUAUUCUUGCUGCAUCGCAUGGUGUGGUUUGGAAAGGGUUUCUGGUGGGGGAUGGGCUCGCGGCCUAUCAGCUUGUUGGUGGGGUGAUGGCCUACCAAGGCUUUGACGGGUAGCCGGCCUGAGAGGGUGUCCGGCCACACUGGGACUGAGACACGGCCCAGACUCCUACGGGAGGCAGCAGUGGGGAAUAUUGCACAUGGGCGCAAGCCUGAUGCAGCGACGCCGCGUGAGGGAUGACGGCCUUCGGGUUGUAAACCUCUUUCAGUAUGGAACAAGGAUCCUUCGUUUGGGGGGUUUGAGGGUACGUGCAGAAGAAGCGCCGGCUAACUACGUG
rnacentral:rRNA from 1 species